rnacentral:rRNA from 1 species
CGCCCUUAGAGUUUGAUCAUGGCUCAGGACGAACGCUGGCGGCGUGCCUAAUACAUGCAAGUCGAACGCAGCUUGCUUUGGUAAGAUGAGUGGCGAACGGGUGAGUAACACGUGGGUAACCUGCCUAUCAGAGGGGGAUAACACUUGGAAACAGGUGCUAAUACCGCAUAGAUUUCUUUCGCAUGAAAAGAGAGGAAAGACGUACAUGUCACUGAUAGAUGGACCCGCGGUGCAUUAGCUAGUUGGUGAGGUAACGGCUCACCAAGGCCAUGAUGCAUAGCCGACCUGAGAGGGUGAUCGGCCACACUGGGACUGAGACACGGCCCAGACUCCUACGGGAGGCAGCAGUAGGGAAUCUUCGGCAAUGGACGAAAGUCUGACCGAGCAACGCCGCGUGAGUGAAGAAGGUUUUCGGAUCGUAAAACUCUGUUGUUAGAGAAGAAUAGGUAGGGAUGACUUCCUGCCAUGACGGUAUCUAACCAGAAAGCCACGGCUAACUACGUGCCAGCAGCCGCGGUAAUACGUAGGUGGCAAGCGUUGUCCGGAUUUAUUGGGCGUAAAGCGAGCGCAGGCGGUUUCUUAAGUCUGAUGUGAAAGCCCCCGGCUUAACCGGGGAGGG